UACGAAGGGGGCUAGCGUUGUUCGGAAUCACUGGGCGUAAAGCGCACGUAGGCGGACUUUCAAGUCAGGGGUGAAAUCCCGGGGCUCAACCUCGGAAUUGCCUUUGAUACUGUAGGUCUCGAGUCCGGAAGAGGUGGGUGGAAUUCCCAGUGUAGAGGUGAAAUUCGUAGAUAUUAGGAAGAACACCGGUGGCGAAGGCGGCCCACUGGUCCGGUACUGACGCUGAGGUGCGAAAGCGUGGGGAGCAAACAGG
rnacentral:rRNA from 1 species